CCUUCAAGGCAAAGGUUUUCUUGAGAUAAUGAUGAUCUAGACAACCCUGUCUUGAUUGAU
rnacentral:pre_miRNA from 1 species